UCAAAUGAGACAAUUGCUAGAUAGAAAGAAAUGGACUGAAUUUGACCAAAUUUUCACUUUCGAUCUUCAUUUUUAGAUAUGAACAAAGGGGACUACGGUAAGGUUACUAGCUCAAACUUUCCAUACGCAGACCAAAUGGAGCCUCAAUUCUAAUUGAUCCCAAUCUUCGGUGUCCACGUGGCAUAAUAUCAUUCGGCCACGGCACCCUAUAAAGAGUAGCUGACGCAAAGAGAAGUUUCCAGUGCGCCACAAGUUGGGGCCGUUAUCUUCCUGCGAAAGCCCUCCUCACUCUCUCUCUUACUCCGAUAGUGGUGUUGUGGUUGGAAAUCAAAUGGCGUCGAUCUCAGCUAUAGAAGGAUUUCUUCCAAAUUCUCUCGCAAUAUCUCUUGGAAAGGCCUCCAAAUCGAGAUGGCACAUGAAAAUACCGCGUAGCAAUGGUGGUUCUUCUCAGGAACUGCCGAGGUUUUCCUAUUCGAUCGAUGUAAGUGGUGGCAUGGGCUGUAGGCCAGUCUUUGGCCGAAGAGAAGCUGCCAUGUUAUCCAUUGGAUUAUUAGCGGGAGCCAUAUGGAAUGCUUCUGAGAAUGAAGUGGCGGUGGCAUCUGAAUUCACUGACAUGCCAGCGCUCAGGGGGAAGGAUUAUGGAAAGACGAAGAUGCGGUUUCCAGACUACACAGAAACAGCAUCAGGCCUUCAGUAUAAGGACUUGCGAGUGGGAAGUGGCCCUUCACCAAAGGUGGGGGAGACAGUAGUGGUUGAUUGGGAUGGUUACACCAUAGGAUAUUAUGGGCGCAUAUUUGAAGCUCGUAACAAGACAAAGGGUGGUUCCUUUCAGGGCGAUGACAAAGACUUUUUUAAAUUUAGAGUAGGAUCACAGCAGGUAAUACCAGCUUUUGAGGAAGCUGUUUCCGGCAUGUCCCUGGGCAGUAUCAGAAGGAUCAUAGUGCCUCCUGAACUGGGAUACCCCGAGAAUGACUUCAACAAGAGUGGACCAAGACCAACAACAUUUUCGGGUCAACGAGCCUUGGAUUUUGUGCUGAGGAACCAAGGGCUGAUAGACAAGACCCUUUUGUUCGAUAUUGAGCUUCUCAAGAUCAUACCGAACUGAUCGAAUGCCAGUUCCAUUCCAUCAUGCAUUAGCAAACACCACCCUGUAAGUAUUGAGGAGUUCAAAGAUCAUAAGCUGUCAAGAGAGCCAUUUAGUGAACACUAUCAUCUUCGAGAACAUGGAGGAGUAUUUCAUGUAAUGGGGAGUUUAGUUAUUCCCAGGGGCAAUACGGCAUCGCAAACAGCAUGUUGGUUUUGGUGCAAUUGGGUCCUUGCCAACCAAUAAAAAAGAUGGAUGGAUAAAACAGAGGUCAGACUCUACUAGUCAAUGUUGUUCAAAAUAUUAUAGUUUUUUGUUUCAUCCAGUUAUCUCACUACUAAUAUGCAUGCAUUGUAGUUAGAUAUAUGGCAAAAGAUUUUAUGAAGUUUUAUCAUCCAUCCCGACAAUUAAUCAACAUUAUGGCACUUCAUUUUUUACAGAAUAAUAUUGCUUUCAUGGA